UUCCGCGACCUUUAGUCAUUUCAGUCUCGUCUCUCACCCUCUCUUUCUUCUCUUCUCUGGGCCGCCUCUCUUUCUUCUCUUCUCUGUCAAUUUCUCUUCAUCAAGAAGGACUAGAUCGAUGUCCAAGGAGCAGAUCGGGUUGAUGAGUCAUCGGGUUUCAUUUGAAAUCCAAGUAUGGUGCCAUGGUGGUUGACGUCUGAGCACGACCUUCGCCGCCGCCGAAAGAAGAACCAAAUGGAUUUAUUUUCUGAGAUUUUGGGUAUGACGAUGCAUGAAGACUCGUGCUUGAUCAGGAUCUCAAUGGGGAACUAUCAAAAGCAAAGCAAAGCUAUGUCCGAUGCUCUCGGUCAAUUCUCAGGGAAGAAGCCCGUAGGGCUGGAUUGCACCAGCUGGCUUUUUGUGGUUCGUGAGGUACUGAGAUUUGACCUUUAUGGGAAAGACUACUUCAUUGUCAUGAAUGCUUCAGAGAUCACUGACAAACUUGGUCUCCACACUUUCGUCAACGCCAAUGAUCGCGAGGGCUGCAGUUUCUGCUUACUGGAUGUUGUCCUAUUUGAGUGCAUGCCUUGGGUGGGGUUUCAACCAUGUCCAGCUUCCAACCACUAAUGAAUUUUAUAGUGCUGGGAAAGCUAUGUUUGGCUGUUCUGAGGGCAGGAGGUGAUAUUGGGGAAGAAUGGUGUGGUGAAUGUUUUGGAAUUGGGUCCUCUCUCAAGACUUUGAGAAGGAAGGAUUUGAAUUAUUGAAGCCUGGCAUUGGAACCAUUCUUAUACCCAUCUAAAUUUUGCUCGUGUUGGUGUUGUAUUUUUAUUGCUGCUGUUUUUAUUGUCUUAAUGUUGUAUUUUUAUCGGAGUAGGACGAAAGUUGUUCUUAU